rnacentral:lncRNA from 11 species
GGGCUACUUGCCAUGACACAUUGGGCUUGCGGCAAUCCAGACAACGUGAACUUCUAUCCAGGCCACUUCAAGUCAUCCUGGUUGCCUCUCGCAUUCAAGCACCACCAUUCUAUACCUGUAUUUACACAUCUCAAGUAUCCUUUGCCUUCAGCUUUUCAUGGCUUUGCAACAGCAUUAAAGACACAACAGUAAUGGUUCGAAUAACGGGAAAUUUACCUGCUACAGCUACUGAUUAACUUGGUGACUUCUGACUGGAUGACAGAAAUGGUGGUUAAAAGGAAUAGAAAUCAGGACAAAACACGACCAGGUGAUUGGUAUAUCAGUGUUGUAUAUCACUAACCAAUAUUUUGCUAAAUUUGGACUUUUAGUUAUACUAUUUUCUCUUAUGAAAAAUGUGGAAAAGGCUCUUUUCUUAAGCCUAACAAUGGAUAAGGA